CCAAAGGCUCUUUUAAGAGCCACCCAUCUGUCUCUGUAAAAGGCAAU
rfam:Danio rerio chromosome 7, GRCz11 reference primary assembly.